rnacentral:rRNA from 1 species
UACGUAGGGGGCAAGCGUUGUCCGGAAUUAUUGGGCGUAAAGCGCGCGCAGGCGGUUCUUUAAGUCUGAUGUGAAAGCCCACGGCUCAACCGUGGAGGGUCAUUGGAAACUGGGGAACUUGAGUGCAGAAGAGGAAAGUGGAAUUCCACGUGUAGCGGUGAAAUGCGUAGAGAUGUGGAGGAACACCAGUGGCGAAGGCGACUUGCUGGGCUGUAACUGACACUGAGGCGCGAAAGCGUGGGGAGCGAACAGG